GAUGAACGCUGGCGGCGUGCCUAAUACAUGCAAGUCGAGCGAACGGACGAGAAGCUUGCCUCUCUGAUGUUAGCGGCGGACGGGUGAGUAACACGUGGAUAACCUACCUAUAAGACUGGGAUAACUUCGGGAAACCGGAGCUAAUACCGGAUGAUAUUUUGAACCGCAUGGUUCAAAAGUGAAAGACGGUCUUGCUGUCACUUAUAGAUGGAUCCGCGCUGCAUUAGCUAGUUGGUAAGGUAACGGCUUACCAAGGCAACGAUGCAUAGCCGACCUGAGAGGGUGAUCGGCCACACUGGAACUGAGACACGGUCCAGACCCCUACGGGAGGCAGCAGUAGGGAAUCUUCCGCAAUGGGCGAAAGCCUGACGGAGCAACGCCGCGUGAGUGAUGAAGGUCUUCGGAUCGUAAAACUCUGUUAUUAGGGAAGAACAUAUGUGUAAGUAACUGUGCACAUCUUGACGGUACCUAAUCAGAAAGCCACGGCUAACUACGUG
rnacentral:rRNA from 1 species